rnacentral:lncRNA from 1 species
GGCUGGGACUGCACAAGGACUGUCCAACGUUAGCACUUCAGCUACUCAACCUUUGUCUGACACGUAUGGACAAGACGUGAAGGUAGAGAGAAGCUCCCUUAAAGAGGUGUAGUCUCUGGUACCUGGCAAUUUUUCCAGAGGAAGAAGAUGGGACCCAGACACGCCACUGAUUGUUAACCAAUUGGCUGUCAUUUCCAGCCUAAACCAUUCUGAAUUGGAUAAUGAUGGUCUGGUCAUGCUUCUUCGGUGGGCUACUCCUUCCUAUAUGGACAGGCACUUCCACUGGCAUUGAGAUAUAGUUGUGGGCAGGAGGAUAACUGCCCUCACCUUAGAGAGAAUUCCGG